rfam:Actinomycetales bacterium JB111 genome assembly, contig: Scaffold29
GCCCCCAUAGCCCAACUGGCAGAGGCAGCCGGCUUAAACCCGGCCGAGUGCGGGUUCGAGUCCCGCUGGGGGCA